AUGGCAGCUCCGAGAGCGCUCGUCCUCGGCCUCCUGCUGGUGAUCGCCGUCGCCAACGCUGAGGCGGCGUCCGUCGUCGUCGGUCUGGCCAAGUGCGCCGACUGCACCAGGAAGAACAUCAAGGCCGAGGAAGCUUUCAAAGGUCUCCAGGUGGCGAUCAAGUGUAAGAAUCUCCACGGCGACUAUGAGAGCAAGGCGGUGGGCGGCCUCGACGGCACCGGAGCCUUCAGCGUUCCCCUGGCCGCCGACCUCCACGGCGCCGACUGCGUCGCGCAGCUCCACAGCACCGCCUCCAACGCACCGUGUUCCAGCCAGGAGCCAUCUAAGAUCGUGCCGGUGUCUGAGGGCACCACCACCUUUGGUGUGGUCGCCGGCGCCAAGACGGACGCGGCGGCAUUGCCAGAGUGCGUGUCGGCGACCCUAUGCGGGCCGAUCAAGAAGCACAUCAUCGAGCACUUCCACCACAAGAAGCUUGUGCCGCCGAAGCCGGAGCCCAAGCCCCAGCCCCACCCUGACUACCACCCCGUGCCCAAGCCGGAGCCCAAGCCGCAGCCCCACCCCGACUACCACCCCGUCCCUCCCACGCCCACCUAUGGCGGCGGCGGUGGUGGAUACCACGGACACCGCUGA
rnacentral:rRNA from 1 species